rnacentral:tRNA from 1 species
GGUGCUGUGGCUCAGGGGUAGAGUGCUUGCCUUGCAUACAUGAGGCCCUGGGUUUGAUUCCUCAGCACCA